rnacentral:ncRNA from 1 species
AAAUGGCUUGUGCCAGCCAAGUGUUUAUAGCGAUGUUGCUUUUUGAUCCUUCGAUGUCGGCUCUUUCUAUCAUGCUGAAGCAGAAUUCAGUAAGCGUUGGAUUGUUCAUCUACUAAUAAGGAGUGUUAGACCGUUGUAUGACAGAUU